rnacentral:rRNA from 1 species
GCAAGUCGAACGGCAGCGCGAGAGAGCUUGCUCUCUUGGCGGCGAGUGGCGGACGGGUGAGUAAUAUAUCGGAACGUGCCCAGUAGCGGGGGAUAACUACUCGAAAGAGUGGCUAAUACCGCAUACGCCCUACGGGGGAAAGGGGGGGAUCGCAAGACCUCUCACUAUUGGAGCGGCCGAUAUCGGAUUAGCUAGUUGGUGGGGUAAAGGCUCACCAAGGCAACGAUCCGUAGCUGGUUUGAGAGGACGACCAGCCACACUGGGACUGAGACACGGCCCAGACUCCUACGGGAGGCAGCAGUGGGGAAUUUUGGACAAUGGGGGAAACCCUGAUCCAGCCAUCCCGCGUGUAUGAUGAAGGCCUUCGGGUUGUAAAGUACUUUUGGCAGAGAAGAAAAGGUAUCCCCUAAUACGGGAUACUGCUGACGGUAUCUGCAGAAUAAGCACCGGCUAACUACGUGCCAGCAGCCGCGGUAAUACGUAGGGUGCAAGCGUUAAUCGGAAUUACUGGGCGUAAAGCGUGUGUAGGCGGUUCGGAAAGAAAGAUGUGAAAUCCCAGGGCUCAACCUUGGAACUGCAUUUUUAACUGCCGAGCUAGAGUAUGUCAGAGGGGGGUAGAAUUCCACGUGUAGCAGUGAAAUGCGUAGAUAUGUGGAGGAAUACCGAUGGCGAAGGCAGCCCCCUGGGAUAAUACUGACGCUCAGACACGAAAGCGUGGGGAGCAAACAGGAUUAGAUACCCUGGUAGUCCACGCCCUAAACGAUGUCAACUAGCUGUUGGGGCCGUUAGGCCUUAGUAGCGCAGCUAACGCGUGAAGUUGACCGCCUGGGGAGUACGGUCGCAAGAUUAAAACUCAAAGGAAUUGACGGGGACCCGCACAAGCGGUGGAUGAUGUGGAUUAAUUCGAUGCAACGCGAAAAACCUUACCUACCCUUGACAUGUCUGGAAAGCCGAAGAGAUUUGGCCGUGCUCGCAAGAGAACCGGAACACAGGUGCUGCAUGGCUGUCGUCAGCUCGUGUCCUGAGAUGUUGGGUUAAGUCCCGCAACGA